GUCAACAAGGAAUGGAAAUUGAUGGAAAUCCCUACGGGUGUGUUGUUUGUAUACCAUGCAUGCUGGUAGAAGAUUGAUCAAGACGUCAACAACAAGAAAAUACUAUUCGUGUCAUGCACAAGUGCACCACAAAGAAGUGCCCCGGUCCGUCUACUUCAUGCUGCUCCGACCCAAGUGCUGGCUAACACCAUGGAAGGUAUCUCUCUCCCUCUCCUCAUCCUAUACCCUGGGUACAAUCCUAUUUGCUUACUACACCACCACAUUAGCCAUCAAAUUUGUGACAAGAAAACUGAAACUCUCUUCCUUUGUUGAUGUUCCUCCAUGCUAAGAGCUAAUCUGCUGCAUUGUUAUUCAACUUUCAUUGACAGUUUUAGUUUUGUUGAAAUCAUGUUUUGUUUUCUAUGCUUAUGUCUAUGGACGAACACUACUAGCUCUAGAAGGACCGACAUUACCAUCAAGUACGCCAUCGAGGUGAAUGGAGCUUGUGUUGUUGGUACAACUCCAUUGAUGACUUCUUCCUAUGUUGAAGAGCAUGUUCUGUGGUAUCCAAGAGUAGCGGUUUAUUUGUCGAUCCCAAUAUUUAUGAUUGUGUGGAUCUGGGUGAAGUUUGAAGUUCCUGGGUAUGCAAGAUUCGAUGGUGAAACUGGUUGAUGUGAUGUGAAUGAGUGAGAUCGGAAGAG